rfam:Gorilla gorilla gorilla genomic chromosome, chr3, whole genome shotgun sequence
GCUGGGCAUGGUGGCGUGUGCCUGUAAUCCCAGCUACUCAGGAGGCUGAGGCACAAAAAUCGCUUGAACCCAGGAGGUGGAGGUUGCAGUGAGCCAAGAUCCUGCCACUGCACUCCAGCCUGGGUGACAGAGUGAGACUUUGUCUCAA